UUUCUCGGGUUUCUCUUCAUAACGCACAAGUCUUUCGCCUUUUACUAAAGACUUCCGUGGAGAGGAACACCAAUGAGUUAAACCUAUUUUUGGCGGGUAAAUACUAACGUUUAG
ensembl:snRNA U5 U5 spliceosomal RNA